AGGGAGAAAAUGUUACACCCUGGAUUAUCGUUGAGCAUUGCCACGGACUCAACUCUACAAGUUUAAAUCCUACAAUAAGAAGUUGUAACAACUCCAGCAAAUUCAACAAUCUCCACCUUUAAAUCAAAUUCUCCUUGGCUUGAUCGUCUUCAUUCAAGAGAAAUGAAGCAGCUAAGAUUUAAAGCAACAAUCGAGUGACGGAUCAUGAUAGUGGUACACAGUCCUUGUAAAGAAGGGAAAGAAAUGGCGAAGAAAGAAGUGCUAAGGGGUAAUUUUGUAGAGUUGCUUUGAUGAUGAUGUAAGCAUGAUGUCAAAAUUCUUAAAUUUUGAAAACUAGACAAAGUUCAUUUUUGAAUUUUGUUUAUUUCUUAUAUGUAAAAAUGCUAACCUCUUUUAAUAACAUGUUAGUGUUUAAAGGAUGUUUUCA